CACGGUGUUUCCUGAGCGCUAUGACAUGUCCUUCUUCAAACGAGGCUUGUGGAGAGUAUUAACCGGUAGGCAGCGGUUUGAUGGCUACGCAUUGAUGGAGACAAUUGGAAUACGAAGCGAUGUAGCAAGAUCCUUCAGUCUCUUCUGUAUUUCCAGUUUUCUGCCUUGAAAAUAGUCCUUAUUGUUGAAGUUGUCAAAUUCAAUGCAGCACCAAUUUGAGAUUGACGUUCAUCAUGUCCUCGAGGGCUCCAUACUAAAUUCACCGAGCCAGUAGGUGAGUUCACGGGGCCCUGACCUAACGAAUUUGCUAACACUAGCCCCAGCAAGAGCAGUGCCUCGCAGAAUCUGCCACCGGAUCGGAACGCGACCCACUGAGAAGAUCCAGCGAGACACUCAGUGGGCUGUGUCUGAGGGUUGAAACGAUAAAAAUACGUUCGUAUAAUACCGCAGAAACGAAGAUAAACUGUUUCGUUUAUCGGGAAACCUAACGUUGUGUGCAAUUUCGGGGAAUCCCACAAUUCAAAUAAUAGAGCGUUAAACUGAAACAGCGUUAAGCGCGGUCUUGCUGUAAUUUUUUAUUAUUUUCUUUUUUACAUAUACCCGGCUUCGCUUGGAUCAUGUCUUUUACCACCUCUAACUAGUGGUAGGACCUCUUGUGAGUCCGCGCGGGUAGGUACCACCACCCCGCCUGUUUCUGCCGUGAAGUAGUAAUGCGUUU